ensembl:snoRNA SNORD15 Small nucleolar RNA SNORD15
CUUCAGUGACGAUACGAUGACGAGUCGGAACGGGUCUCGGGUUCCGCAGGCCGCCGGUUCAGAUCCACGUUCUGUGGUUCUGCCCCGGUUCCUCGGAGCUCCGAGUCCUUUUCGCUUGAAGACAUCGAGGCAUUUGUCUGAGAAGA